UACGUAGGGAGCGAGCGUUGUCCGGAUUCGUUGGGCGUAAAGAGCUCGUAGGCGGCUUGGUAAGUCGGAUGUGAAACCUCCAGGCUCAACCUGGAGUCGCCAUCCGAUACUGCCAUGGCUAGAGUCCGGUAGGGGCCCACGGAAUUCCUGGUGUAGCGGUGAAAUGCGCAGAUAUCAGGAGGAACACCGAUGGCGAAGGCAGUGGGCUGGGCCGGCACUGACGCUGAGGUGCGAAAGCGUGGGGAGCAAACAGG
rnacentral:rRNA from 1 species